GAGCCAAGUGCCGUUCAAGCGAAGAAGACGUGGACGAAGAAGGAGAACCGCCGCCGAGUAAAUAAACGACAAACAUUAGGAGUUUCAAAGAAUUAGAGAAUUAUUUAGUUUAACCAGCGGUUGAACUAAAGCAACGGCUCAAAUCUGUGAGGCGAACCCUCCUAACUUGCCCCGCAGUGAGCGUCUAGAAUUUUAGCUAGCUUAGCUUAGCUUCUCACCGACGCAACGUCAGUUAGAAAAAGAAAUACACAAAAAAAGAGUAAAGGAAAAUGUCGGACGACUGCGAGUUCAGUGAAGAUGUGGGCAUCAUGAGGAUGGAGGAGGACGGGGUGGCGUACAGCGACGACCUCAUGACGGCCGCGGCGUCGGCCGACGGCCUGACUGGGGACGAGGCCGAGGGGGCAAAAAUCGAUGCCAGUAAAAAUGAGGAGGAUGAAGGGAAGAUGUUUGUCGGCGGUCUCAGCUGGGACACGACCAAGAAGGACCUGAGAGACUACUUCUCCAAGUUCGGGGAGGUCAUCGACUGCAACCUGAAACUGGACCCCAUGACCGGCCGUUCCAGGGGAUUUGGCUUUGUGCUCUUCAAGGAGGUUGCAAGUGUUGACAAGGUUACCGCACAGAAGGAUCAUAAUCUCAACGGGAAGGUGAUUGACCCCAAAAAAGCCAAGGCCAUGAAGAGCAAGGAGCCGGUUAAAAAGAUCUUUGUGGGCGGGCUCUCUCCGGACACUCCUGAGGCCAAAGUGAGAGAAUAUUUCGGCACCUUCGGAGAGGUGGAGGCCGUCGAGCUUCCCAUGGAGAGCAAGACCAACAGAAGGAGAGGGUUCUGCUUCAUCACGUUCAAGGAGGAGGAACCGGUGAAGAUCAUCAUGGAGAAGAAGUACCACAACGUCGGCCUGAGCAAGUGUGAAGUGAAGGUGGCCAUGUCCAAGGAGCAGUACCAGCACCAGCAAUACUGGGGAGGCAGAGGAGGGUACUCGCUCAGAUCUCGAGGAAGGGGAGGUGGUGCCAGUCCAAAUUGGAACCAGGGUUAUGGCAACUACUGGAAUCAAGGCUACAACAACUACGGUGGUUACGGCAAUCAAGGCUACGGCGGAUACGGCAGUUACGAUUACUCUGGUUACAGCAACUAUUACGGAUACGGUGGCGACAGUACUGAGCCGGAUGGUUAUGGCAAGUCGCCACGGCGCCCCAUUCACAGCACCAGUUACAGACCGUACUAAAACUCAUCGGGUCGUCUCAAAGGACACAAGCAGCGGAGCUUCCUUGCAGGCCAUGAGCUGACUCCAGAUACUCUCAAGGCCCGCUCAAUGCGGACCGGGUACGAGACGCAUACGCUCUCGCUUGCUGCCGUUUGGUGUCGCGGGGGGCGAGCGGACGGCGGCUGAUGGCGCUGGAGAGGACACGACGCUCUCGUGCUGAUUGUAAGAAAGAAAAAAAAAACUGAAGAGCCUUUUUCCUUUAUUUUCCGGCGUGUUCCUUGGAGCUGACACCUUUUUUUUUCCAGGGGUAUCUUUAUUUAGAGUUGUUCUCAUUCUUUUUUGGGGGGGUUUUGUGAAAGGUUUUGAUUAUUAAUAGUUAGACACACUUAUUUACAGUUGUAGACGCACAUAUUCUCUUUAUCAGACCUAUACAACGUUCAUGUAAACACACAAUAUAUAUAUAUUCAAUGUAAGCGCGAUAAAACAAUAAAAUACUUGUUUGGA